rnacentral:pre_miRNA from 1 species
GGUUUUGAGGUGGAGCUCCUAUCAUUCCAAUGAAGGGUCUAUCGAAGGGUUUGUGCAGCUGCUUGUUCAUGGUUCCCACUAUCCCAUCUCCAUUGAAAACGAGGAGAUCGGCUUGUGGUUUGCAUGACCGAGGAGCCGCUUCGAUCCCUGGCUGACCGCUGUUUGGAUUGAAGGGAGCUCUGCAUCUUGAUCUA